rnacentral:tRNA from 1 species
GGAGAGAUGGCCGAGUGGUUUAUGGCUCCAGUCUUGAAAAUUGGCAUGGUGUUUCAAUACCAUCGAGGGUUCGAAUCCCUCUCUCUCCC